rnacentral:rRNA from 1 species
UACAGAGGUCUCGAGCGUUAGGCGGAAUCACUGGGCUUAAAGCGUGUGUAGGCGGAUCGUUAAGUACCUUGUGAAAUCCCACGGCUUAACCGUGGAACUGCUUGGUAUACUGGCGGUCUUGAGCCAGCUAGGGGCUACCGGAACAAAUGGUGGAGCGGUGAAAUGCGUAGAUAUCAUUUGGAACGCCAAUGGUGAAAACAGGUAGCUGGGGCUGUGCUGACGCUGGAGACACGAAAGCCAGGGGAGCAAACGGG